rnacentral:rRNA from 1 species
UACGUAGGGCGCAAGCGUUGUCCGGAUUUAUUGGGCGUAAAGAGCGCGUAGGCGGCUUGUCAAGUCCGAUGUGAAAUCUCCCGGCUCAACUGGGAAACUGCAUCGGAAACUGAUCGGCUUGAAGAUGGGAGAGGGUAGUGGAAUUCCCGGUGUAGUGGUGAAAUGCGCAGAUAUCGGGAGGAACACCAAUGGCGAAGGCAGCUCGCUGGGACGUUACUGACGCUGAGACGCGAAAGCGUGGGGAGCAAACAGG